AUGAAUUAUGAAACCACUCACGCAGGUUGAGAGGUUACACUGAACUGGGGAGGUGCCGCCACCAGUGUCUGCUCAAAGUGGUUGGGGGGUGGGUUGCUCCCCACUUAGGAGGGAAGGGGGAAUAUGAACAGGUGAGUGGCCACAGUGGGGGUGUGACCCGUAGACAGUGGGACCAGCGGGGGCUUCCCAAAUCCUGGGCCCUCAGACUGCAGGAUCAGAAGAGGGAAAAAACCCCAUAGGACGGGCUCAGCUUCCCGAGGCUGGAGGGUGAGGCUGCCCCCUAGUGGCUGAAGUUCACGACCGGACGGACGUUCAAGGAGUCCCGGGCGUUCCAAUGCUUUCUCCCAGGAAGUGGGCUCUGCAGGCUGGAGGUGCCCUAGUGUCAGUGUGAAGGCUGGGAGCCAACGUCUAAUCAUCAAGGUGAUGGAACUCUGAGGGCUGAAGGGAUGUUAAGGCACUGAGGGCCAGAGCACUUGUUCUCAUCAGCAUCAUCAUCAGCAUCAGCAUCAUUGUCACCGUAAUCAGCAUCAUCGGCAUCAGCAUCAUCAGCAUCACCACCCUCAUCAUCAUCAGUAGCAUCAAUAUCACUAUCAUCAGCAUGAGCAUCAGCAUCAUCAGCAGCAUCAGCACCAUCAGCAUCAUCGUCAUCAGCAUCAUCAGCAUCAUCAGCAGCAUCACCACCAUUAUCAGCAUCAGGAUCACCAUCUAACAUUUUUUGAGGGCUUCAAAUGCACAAGGCACUGGGCUGAUUUCUUUACAUGCAUUGUCUCACUUGUUUCCAACAAUGACAGCCCCCAAAGUUAAGUAUUAUUAUUGUUAAUAUCCUCAUUUACAGAUAUGUAAACUGAAACUUAGAGAGAUUAAGCAACUUGCUUAGGGCCACAGAGCUAUGUUAAGUGUAAUUUUAAAAAAUGUAAAUCACAAUUCUCAGGAAAAUAUAAAAUGAUACCAUGUCAAAGAUUUUAUUUAACUCAAUAACCAAUGAGAGAACCAAUAAGAAGUUUAAACUUAUUCAAAGAGCAUUAGAGAAUUUAGAUAUAUGCAGGCAAUUUAACAACAAAAAAAUAAGGCAAGUAUGAUAGGCUAAAUAAUGUUCCCUCUGAAAAAAAAUCUAUCCUGAUCCCUGGAAUUUCUGAAUAUGUUACUUAUGUUACUUUAUAAAUAGAAAGGACUUUACAGAUGUGAUUAAAUUAUGGGUUUUGAGAUGGGGAGGUUAUUCUGGAUUAUCUGGGUAGGUCCAAUGUAAUCACAUGCAUUCUUAUAAGAGGGUGACAGGAGUGUCAGCUGAGAGAGAAGACAUAAGAAUGAAAGCGGAGGUUGGAGUGAUGUGCUUUGAAGAUGGAGGAAGAGGCCAUAAGCCAAGGAAUGUACGUUAUCCCUAGAAGCUGGAAAAGACAAGAAAACAAAUCCUUUUCUAGAGCCUCCAGAAGAAAAGGGCUCUGCUUACACCUUGAUUUUAGCCCAGUGAAACUGAUUUUGAACUUCUGACAUCUAGUACUGUAAGAUAAUACAUUUGCAUGAUUUUUACACCCUAAAAUGUGUUACAUUGUUAUAUCAGCAGUAGAAAUUUAAUACCAAAAGAUUACUGGGUGAGAUAGAAAGCUAGUUAAUGUCCAACAGGGCUAUCAACUAUAACCCUUGGAGCUAAUUCUUCUACCAGAGUUAAAUUAUUUGCUUCUUUGCGGGGCCAAAAUUUGUAAGUAAACCUCUGCCGUUAUGGAGAUGAAAAUUGACUAGUCAGUAGAAAUCCCAGCUUUGCACUGGCAAAUCACUCAAUAAUCUCUUCUGCACGUUCCCAAGUUUAGAAUACUCUUUUGGACAGUUAGGAAGUCGAAGCGCUGAGAUUUGAACCAGGCUCUUCUAAGUCCAGAAUCUGUGCUCUUAAUCACUAAGGAACAUAUUUUUUAUUAGCAUUAUUUCAUAGACUAGCAGGACAAUCAGUGGCAAGAAAAAUUGUCCAUGGAAACUGAGAACACAGCUUAAAGAUUGCCAGGUUUGGGUGUGGUGGCUCACACCUUUAAUUCCAGUGUUUUGGGAGGCUGAGGCGGGAGGAUUGCUUGAGGCUAGGAGUUCAAGAGCAGCCUGGGCAACAGGGUGAGACCUCCAUCUUUACAACAAAUAAUAAAAAAAAAAAGCCAAGUGUGAUGGUGUGGACCUGUGGUCCUAGCUACUCAGGAGGUGGAGGUGGGAGGAUUUUGUGAGCCCAAGUGUUCAAGGUUAUAGUGAGCUAUGAUUGCACUCUAGCCUGGGUGACAGAGAAAGACCCUGUCUCUAAAGAAAAAUUAAAAAAAAAAAAGAUUGCCAGUUUGAUUCACCAACUCCUUCAUGGUGCUUCCCCCAAACAGAGGACCACAGAAAGAACCUUCUCCCUCCAUAACAUGGAAAUUCCUACACUAGCUCUCUGAAAACUUAGAUCCAAGCUUUCAGUAGGUGGUUUAGAUAGGUUCCUGGUUGGAGUAACUUGAAGGCUGGGGUGGGAAACUAAAAUACACCUCCCCACAACUGUUCCCUUCCCUGCUCAAGAGUAAAUGGUCUUGACAAGCCCUUCUUUAAAACUGUGUUACUUGGUUAGACAUCAAAACACUUUGCCUAGUAAAUGCUUGAAAAAGGUUUGCAUUGCAUUUGGUUUGGUGGAAGGGCAAAGUAGACUUUGGGAGUGAGAAAAGUCAGGAGGGACAAAUGAGUGAGUUGUGUCAGGAACUAGCAUGGCAUUCUUAAGAGUCACACGGGCUGGGUGCAGUGGCUCACGCCUGUAAUCCCAGCAUUUUGGGAAGCCGAGGUGGGCAGAUCACGAGGUCAAGAGAUAGAGACCAUCCUGGCCAACAUGGUGAAACCCUGUCUCUACUAAAAAUACAAAAAUUAGCCAGGUGUGGUGGCACAUGCCUGUAAUCCCAGCUACUCAGGAGGCUGAGGCAGGAGAAUCCCUUGAACCCAGGAAGCAGAGCUUGCAGUGAGCUGAGAUUGUGCCAUUGCACUCCAGUCUGGGCGACAGAGCGAGAUUCCGUCUCAAACAAACAAACAAAAAAAAGAGUCAUGGGUUGAAGCGUCCCAUUGCAGUUGGGAACCUUUAUGGGAAAGUGGGGUCUCUGAUUAGACAGGUGGAAUGUGGCUAGAGUCUUGAAUGGGGGCUGGGCAGUGUAGGUUUACCUUAUAGGGCAAUCAUUCUUGAAGCUGAACAUUAGAAUAAACUGGCAAGAGUUAAGAAAUAUGAAUGCAACCCUGUAUUCAUCUACUGAGGCUGCCAUAACAAAAUACCAUAGAAUUGGUGACUUAAGCAACAGAAAUUAAUUUUCUAACAAUGCUGGAGGCUAGAGAUCAAAGUGUUGGCAGUGUUGGUUUCUCCUGAGGCCUCUUUCCUUGAUUUGUAGAUGGCCAUCCUCUCCCUGUGUCUUCAGAUGGUCUUUCCUUUGUUACUGUCCAUGUCUGAAUAUUCUUUUCUUAUAAGCCUUCCCCUAUUGCCCCAAUUCUUCCCAUUAGGAACCUCACCAGCACCACAGGACCCACCACCACCAUCACAAGCCUUAUCAUCACCCCUGCCUUCUCUAUCCCUGCAGCAGUCCGGGGAUAGACACAGGGAGAGGACAGCCAUCUUACCAGCCAAGGAAGGAAGCCUCAGAGAAACCAACACUGCCAACACUCGGAUCUCUGGCCUCCAGGAUUGUGACCGCACCCACCACAGUUAUCACAGGGGCAGCUAUAAUGGCAGCAGCUGCAGCAGCAGUGAGCCCCAUGCCAAUAGAGAGACAUAGGCAGUCACACCCAUUGUAGAACUGAUCACUUAGGCCAAGUUAUUAAUUUUGUACUGGAGGAAACUGAAGUCCAGAGAGGUCAACUGACUUAUUCAAGCCUAUGGAGCUCUUAAAUACAAAACUAAGUCCAAAGAUCCUAUUUUUUGGCCUCACAUUUUCUUUCUUUCUACUGGUCCACAUGACUUCAUCCCAGCCCAUCAGCCCUGGAGGCUGGGCUAAGGACAGCCCCACUAUUUGAGCCUGCUCUUCCUUCCUAUCAGGAGCAAACCAUCAUGAAAAUCAGCCCCAUUAAACUCUGAUUGUCUGUGUCUGGGCCAUGUGUUUCCCUUGUCAAGGGGUUGAAAUGCUCUGAUUUAAGGGUAGGCAGGAUACUUCUUUUAAUGUUUUUAGUUAGGACUUGGUCAGCAAACAGGGACAAACCUGAUCAAAUGUGGCAUAAGCAAACUGCAAACUCGGCUCAUGUAACAAGACCAAGGCAGCCCUGGCUGCAGGCGUAGAAAGAUUCAGGGCUCACAUGAUGCAAUCACGUGUCUCUCCUUUCUGCUUGCUUCGCAAUCUGUUGACUCCAGUCUCAGACUCCAUUUGGUAGUGAGAUGGUAGCUUCAGCUUGUGAAUUCUCUGGUGCAGCAGGAAAGAGGUAGCCUGUUUCUCAAUAACACAAAUGAAAGUCAUGGAAUUAAUUAAUGCAAAAAUAUUUAUUGAGGUCCUAGGAUGCACCAGACAUUCUUCUACAUGCUGGGGAUACUGAAGUGGACAGAGAGAAGAGGUUCCUGUCAUCAUGGAGCUUACUUGAGUCUUCUUAGGCUCUGACAUGACUGUUUUUGGCCAUGUGUAAUCUGUGAGCCAAUCACUGUAGCCACGAGUACGCGAUGUGCUGGGUUAUGUGCCCCACUUAAAGAAUGCAAGCCUCAGGGCAGGCGUGGUGGCUCACGCCUGUAAUCCCAGCAUUUUGGGAAGCCGAGGUAGGCGGAUUGCCUGAGGUCAGGAGUUUGAGACCAGACUGGCCAACAUGGUGAAACCCUGUCUCUACUAAAAAUACAAACAUUAGCCAGGCGUGGUGCUGGGUGCCUGUGAUCCCAGCUACUCAGGAGGCUGAAGCAGGAGAAUCGCUUGAACCCAGGAGGCGGAUGUUGCAGUGAACCAAGAUGACGCCACUGCGCUUCAGCCUGGGCAUUCUUUCAAAAACAGAAUGCAGGUCUCUUUUUGAGUGCCAGGACUAUGUCAUAGUUAUGUUUGUGAUGUGUCCACAAAGCAUAACCCAAGGGCUGUCCAUAAUAAGCACAUGAGAAGUGACAUCAAACGAGUGAACAACUGAGUAAAUAAACCACAGAGAGAGAAAGUUCAUGAAAGGCAAAUGUGUAAAAACACACGAAAAGGGGAUAAAUCCAAGUAAAUCGAACAAUGAAAUGCUAGCUCUCAGUUGCCAAUCCAAAAAGAGACAUAAUAUUCACUAGAGAUGACUUGCUAAAAAUAUUUGCCCAGUGUGUUUCAUAUCAGGCCAAGAAAAUCCUGCUCAUUAUUCAGAGAAACAUUAGACACAAAAUCUGAAGUUGCAGUUCAUUUCAGAGUUGUCCCUGGGGGGUGUCAACAAACCGGGGUCACUCUGGACCUCACACUUUGAGGAGCAAGUGAAAGAAGAAAUGAAGACAGCUCACAGCUGGCAGCUAAAAUAUGUCGAUGUCAUUAUGUAAAUAUCUGCCACCCUCAGCCCUCCAUGGUCUCUCUUGCAGCCUGCUGUGGGCACCUGGGAAACACUUCUCCCUGUUGUCUGGUGUUCUUGGACAUAGCCUCUUAGUUCCUUUGAUGUUCCGCCCUUGAUGUUCAUUUUAUGCAGCUUUCAACUGGUAAAAAAGUUUAAGGCAAGGAAAAAGUCUGGAAGAAAAUUUAUAGCUCCUAAAAUUGUUAGCAUGUAAAAGAGCUGUUCGUUGGUCCUAAAUCCUAAAAGCGUGGCUCUGUAUAUCUUGUAUAAAACCUAUGUGGGUUGGCACUUGGAGGGAUGUAUGCAAUUUUAGUCAUUACACUGCUUAAGGAAGGACCUAUAAAGGACACAUAGAAAGAGGCAAACUAAAUUAUUAAGAGGAACCUACAUUUGAGCAUGAGCUCAAAGGAGGUGGACUCCAGCAUGGAAAGACCAAAGCUCUAAGAAUAAAUAAGUACAUGCUAUGAAUUCAUGAAGGGCAUAGAAAAGAUGCCUGUAAAUAAACUUAUUCACCAGAUUUCAAUAGAAUCAAAUAAGAGGGGCACCCAUGGGGUUUCAAAAGGGUCAAAGUUGUACAAAUAUUAAGUGUAAGUGGCUUUAAACGAUGGUGGCAAACAUGAAAUUUAAACUAAUUUUUAUGUUUUAGAGACACAAUCUUGGACUUAAUAAAAAGAGCUUUAAAAGGUAUAUUGGGGACAAUUGGUAAAAUUUACAGGUAAGUCACAUAUUAAAUGGCACCAUUUAACCGAAUGGUGGUGUUGUGCUUAUUUAGGAGAAUGUCCAUAUUCAUUCAAGAUGCACAGUGAAGUGUUGGGGGAAACAUGGCUGGAUUUUGUAGCUGACUUUCAAAUGAAUUAGAAAAAACAUCUAUAAAUAUAUAAGAGAGAAUGACAGAGCAAUUGUAGCACAAUACAGUCAUGCGCUGCAUAAUGACAUUUCAGUUAACAAUGGAUUGCCUAUCUCGACGGUGGUCUCAUAAGAUUAUAAUGGAGCUGAAAAGUUUCUAUUGUCCAGUAUUUAUUAUGCUAUGCUAUGCUAUGCUAUGCUAUGCUAUGCUAUGCUAUGCUAUGCUAUGCUAUACUAUACUAUACUUUAUUUAUUUAUUUAUUUUUUGGAGACAAAAUUUCGCUCUUGUUGCCCAGGCACAAUUUUGGCUCACUGCAACCUUCAAUUCCCCGGUUCAAGCAAUUCUUCUGCCUCAGCUUCCUGAGUAGCUGAGAUUAUAGGUGUGCACCACCACACCCAGCUAAUUUUUGUGUUUUUAGUAGAGACGGGGUUUCACCAUGUUGGUCAGGCUUGUCUCGUUUAUCUAUUUAUUUUUGAGACAGGGUCUUUCUCUGUUGCCCAGUCUGGAGUGCAGUGGCAUGAUCGUGACUCACUGUAACCUCAAACUCCUGGGCUCAAGGAAUCCUCCCGUCUCAGCCUCCCAAGUAGCUGGGACUUCAGGUGUGUACCAUCACACUUGGCUAAUUAAAAUGAUUUUUUUUUGUACAGACAGGGGUCUUACUAUGUUGCUAGGGUCAUCUUGAACUCCAGGCCUCAAGUAAUCCUCCCACCUCAGCUUCUCAGAGUCCUAGAAUUAGCACUCUGAGUACCUAGCAUGGAAUUUAUUACCUUUAGAAGUAGCACUGUUUGAAAAUAUAAAAUCCUUUAAGAAUUUGGAUAUGUUCAUGAGUGAUGGGUCAAGAGUAAUGGGUCAGAUAUGUUCGUGAGUGAUGGGUCAGAGACUUGAAGAUGCUUUUGAUACAGCCCUACCCACAGAGAACAAUCACACCCACCCUUGAUGCAUCUACUGGAGACCGAGUGUUAGACAAGGGUCCAGAUGGCUCAUGGGCAGGUCUAGGACAGGUCUCAGCAAUGUUUUGAGAAUAAAACAAGGAAGAUCUGCUGAAUGUUUAAGUUUUUUUUUUUUUUUUGACAAGGAUAGCCUUUAAUAUCAUAAAUGGAUAAUUAAGGGAAUAAAUGAAGGAAUGAGUAGAUGAUAAUGAGUAGGAGGCUUUUGGUAACUUUUUUUUUUUUUUUUUGAGACGGAGUCUCGCUCUGUCACCAGGCUGGAGUGCAGUGGCGCGAUCUUGGCUCACUGCAACCUCCACCUCCCGGGUUCAAGCGAUUCUCCUGCCUCAGCCUCCUGAGUAGCUGGGACUACAGGCACGUGCCACCACACCCAGCUAAUUUUUGUAUUUUUGGUAGAAAUGGAGUUUCACCAUGUUGGCCCGGAUGGUCUCUAUCUCUUGACCUCGUGAUCUGCCCAUCUUGGCCUCCCAAAGUGUGGGAUUACAGGUGUGAGCCACUGUGUCCGGCUGUAACUUUUUAUUUUUAAAUAGUUAUAGACUCACAGAAAGAGGCCAUGAGUACAGGGUCACAUAUACCCUCCCCUCAGCCUCCCCGAGCAGUGACAUCUUAUAAAGCUGUGAUAAAAUAGCAAAACCAGGGAGUUGGCACUGGUAGUGUUGAACGAUACUGCAGAUUUUAUUCUGUUCUCAGCAUUUUUUAAGCUUGCAUUUGUGUGUAUGUAAUGUUAUCCCAUGUAUAGAUUAAUGUAACCACCACCCCAAUAAAGAUACAGAACUGUUCCAUCACAGUAAAAGAAUUCCAUUCAGGCCGGGCGCGGUGGCUCAUGCCUAAAAUCCCAGCACUUUGGGAAGCCGAGGUGGGUGGACCAUUUGAGGUCAGGAGUUUGAGACCAGCUUGGCUAAACUGGUGAGACCCCGUCUCUACUAAAAAUACAAAAAUUAGCCAGGUGUGGUGGCACACACCUGUAAAUCCCAGCUACUCCAGAGACUGAGGUAGGAGAAUCGCCUGAACCGGGGAGGCAGAGGUUGCAGUGAGCCUAGACCAUGCCACCACACUCCAGCAUGGGUGACAGAGUGAGACUGUGUCUUAAAAAAAAAAAAAUAGAAUUCCAUUCUAUCUGUUUGUAUUCCUCCCCCCUCAUCCUCCUGCUCCCUGGCAACCACUAAUCUGUGCUCUUUCUGUCAUCGUUUUGAGAAUGUUGGAUAAGUGGAAACAGAUCCGAAAGGUAUGUAACCUUCUGAGACUGGCUUUUUUCACUAAGCAUAAUGCCUGAAGUCCAUCCAGGUUGUUGCAUGUACCAAGAGUUCAUUUGCUUUUGUUGCUAAGCAGUAUUCCAUUGUAUGGAGGUACCACAGUUUGUUCCAUCCUUUGCCUAUUGGACAUUUGCUUUUUUUUCCCUCGAGUAUUUUGCCAUUAUGAAUACAGCCACUACGAAUAUUUAUAUGCAGGUUUUUGUGUAAAUAUAAGUUUUGAUUUCUCUGGGAUAAAUGCCAGGAGUAUGACCGUUGGGUCAUAUGGUAAGUGUUUAAUUUUGUAAGAAACUGCCAAACUGUUUUCCAUGGUGGCUGUACCAUUUUACAUGUCCACAGGCAAUGUAUAAGAGAUCUAGUUUCUCUGCAUCCUUACCAGCAUUUGAUAUUAUCACUAUUUAAAAUUUUAGCUAUUCUAAGUGGUGUGUAGGCAUAUAUUUUUGUGGUUUUAAUUUGCAGUUUCCUAAUGACUAAUGAUAUUGAAAAACUUUUCUUGCUUAUUUGCCAUCUGCCUAUCCUUUUUGGUGAAAUAUCAGUUCAUGUCUUUCAGCCAUGUUUAAUUUUUUUUUUACUGUUGAGUUUUGAAAGUUCUUUAUAUAUUCUAGAAGAUGCAAAAUGUUUGUCAGAUAUUGGCUUGCAAAUAUUUUCUCCCAGUCUGCAGGUUGUCUUUUCACCCUCUAAACAGAGUCUUUCACAGCAUGAAACAAAUGGAGGCUUUAAAUGGCCAUUUCAGAAAAGCCUGACCUAGCCUUGAGAGCGUCGGACACGGUCACUCCACCGGUUCCCGCUCACGAGGGCAGAUCACGGGUUUAAAUCCCAUUUGGGUGUGCUAAUUCAGCUUCACAAUAGCUCACCCACCAUGGGCUUAACGCUAUUCAGUGGCCACAGGUGAGUGUGUUUCAGGACAUCACAAAAAGAUAAGCUGAGAAAGAGUGGCCCACGGCUGCCAGAACAGCUUGAGGGCAAGUCCCCACUGACCCAGAAAGUGAGUCAGUUGCAUCACCCCCUUGGAAACCUGGAAAAUGCAUCAUCAUCGGUGUAGAGCGAGAGCCAGCAUUCAAAACGCCAGGGGGCUUAUCAGGCCAUUUCACCACAACAUAAAGUAACAGGCAGACUUGAAUUCAUCUGGCACUGUUGACCAACACAGAGAGCCAAAACACACACGGAAUUCAAAAUCAGAAAUAACCCCAAGUUUGAGUCAUCCAAUGUGCUUGUCUACAUUGAUUGCACUCACCAGAUAAAAGUCCAAUGCACUCUGUGGGGUGAAACAGCCUCUGCCUCAGGUUGGGAGUUGCUGCCAUGGAGACCACAAGAGUGGAGAUUUUCUGACACACAGAAAGGAAUGGAUUACAGCUCCUUCUUAUGUAAAUUUCCAUGGAGGGGAAAAAAGAUUAAAAGGAAAAUAAUUCUGCUUUAGUCGUUUUCCUUUAAGGUGAUAAGAUCCUUUGAUUCCAUCGUGGAGAAGAAGGCAACAGCUGUUUGUCACAAAUGAUGGGAAAUGUGCCAACAUCACAACAAGGUUUGAGGGAGGCACAUCUCAUGCUCGGACAUGAACACCGGAUCAUCAUGCUUAUGAACUACAAAAGGAUCUCCAGUAUGGGCUCACGGCAGUUGGCCCUUGAAUAACAUGAAUUUGAACUGCCUGAGUCUGCUAAUAUGUGGAUUAUCUUCUGCUUCUGCCACCCCGAGACAGCAAGACCAACCCUUCCUCUUGCUUCUUUUCCUUAGCCUAUUCAACGUGAAGAUGACUAAGGGACAUGGAUGAAGCUGGAGACCAUCAUUCUCAGCAAACUAACACAAGAACAGAAAACCAAACACCACAUGUUCUCACUGGUGAGGACACAAUAGGAUGACCAUCAGCAAACCAGGAAUGAUGCCCUCAACAGACAUCUGAUCUGCUGACACCUUGAUCUUGGACUUCUAAUUCUGCAGAACUUUCACAGAGUUUGAGAGGAACUGUAUUCAAGUUGCUGAAACCAAGAAGCUACACUCAUGAGUCUCACCUAAACUCGAAUCUGAUUUAGAUGACAUCAUCCUGGACUUUGAGUUGAUGAAAUCUUGGAGGUCUUGGGAGUAAAGUAAGUGUGAUUUGCAUAUGAUGGAUAUGAAUUGUAAUGGCCAGAGCAUGGCUGUGGUAGGUAACGUCUAGAGAUGGCCACCAUUUUUUUUUUUCCUCUAUCCGCACAUACUACUUCUCUUGUACUCUUGAAACUGGGAUGAAAUUAGCAACUUUGUUAACCAAUAUAAUGCCAGAGAAGUGACUUUUGUGACUUGUGAGGUUAGAUCUUAAGAAGUCUUGUAUCUUCUUUCUGGAUCACUUCGGAACCAAGCCACUGUUCUAUGAGAAGUGCAAGUCACAUGGAGAAACCAUGUGUUGGCAAGCUAGUCUGCAUCUUCAGGUGAGCUGCCAGCCAAUAACCAGCCUUAAUUUCCAGUUAAGUGAAUGGCUGGAUGUCUAACUCAGUUAAGACUUCUGAUUAUUGCAGCCUCAGGUUACCCCUGACUGCAACUGCACAAGUGGUCCAGAUGAGAUCAAUCUCACAACUAUGGGAGACAAUAAUGCUAUUUUGUGUUAAUCACUAAGUAUUAGUUUGUUACACAAAACAGAUAUUAAGAUUAAGAUAUUUAUGUCUCCAGAUAAUAGACCCAGGAGCUUACUUAUGUCUAUUCCCCUUUAAAGUCCUUUUUUUUUUUUUAACUCACAGCUGGAAUAAUUAUGCCAGAGCAAGGCAGCUUAGGUAGCAGCAUUUGGCUUCUGAUGAUUCUUUCCUCAGUGGAUGCAGGAUGCUGUCAUCUUAGGAACUUGAAAAAAAAGCAUACUGUUUCUUGAACUUUAAUUAGUCAUGCUAAUUGUAAUAAAAUUUUUGCUGGAAUAAAAAAAGGGCAGCGUGUCUGAAGUAAGCCAAAAAAAAAAAAAUCCAUGUAUGCACAGUAGUUGUAGAGAUCUGCCCCAGUUAGUUGUAACCAUUAAAUAACUGCUAGGAAAAAUACAUGGCCUUGGAAAGUGUUUCCUUGGCAGUAGUGGAAGGGCAGGAACAGAUCUGUAUAAACACAUUUUUGUUACAAGCUAGAGGCAAUUUUAGAGUUUGAUGGAUAAGAAUGACAUUAGAUAAAGCAUAUUGUAUUGCACUGGGAAUAGCUCAUUAACAAGCAGUUAACUUUGUGCGUGUUUACACUCAUAUUUGUCAUGUUCACUGCUGUAUCCUCAGCAACUAAAACAGUAACUGGCACUUUAGAGAGACACAAUAAUUAUACGACGAAUUAAUAAAUUCCAUUUGUUUUGUUUAACAAAGUCUUUUGAUUUAAUAUUCAGCUGUACUUAGAUCAAUGGGUCUAAAAUAGCUCAAAUUUUCUUUGAAAAUAAAUACAUUUCUUCUGGUGUAAAUGUAGUCCUCUUAAUGGUCUAUAUGUGAAUUAUUGAGUUCAAUUUUAGAAAUUGACUCUUGUUUUCCUUCAAUAUGCUUCUAGUACCUGUUCUUUACCUCUUUCAUCCCCGAGACUAAUGAUAAAUUUUUGUUUGUUCGGGUAACAGAAACACAGUUUCUUAAUAUUAAUAACAGAUUUCCAGUAUGUAUUAUGUGUCAGCCACUGUACUUAGCUCAACUAAGCUCCGUGAUAACUUUUGAUGUACAGACUAUUAUUAUCCUACUGGUAGAGAUGAGGAAAAAACUAUAGAGGAGUGAGUCUUUGCUUGAGAUUAUAGUGAUUUUAAGAGGUGGCACCAAAAUGAGAGUCCAGAACAAGUGGUAAAACCCAAGGGGCACUUAUUUCCUAUUGCCUGAUUUUUAAAGUUGCUAGGGUCUAACUAUGAAUCUUUGUAUUGGAUAACUAUUUUGGGGGUUAGGGGAGUGAUAAUUAUUUAUGGUUCUGACUGCUCAUUUUGUGUUUGGAACAAAUUAAUAAAAAGAUACAAGAGUCACAGAGAUAGAGAUUUAUAAAUGUUAGCUCUAUAAUUGGUAAAACUGAAUUGUAGAAUACUCCUUGGAUUCACCAAGAAGAUGGAGCCUUCCAUUGUUACCUCCUUAAUUCUAGACAUAGAGUUAACCCAGUAGAAGGAGUUGAGUUCUGCAGAGAAGACAAGCAGGAACAGCACCUUAAAUUUAGUACAGAAACUCCAAUAUUGUAAUCACAGAAAUAAAAUGCUCAGCAGAUGAGCCCUAACCCAUGAGUUCUUACAUUCCAGUGUAAAGUCCAGAACCAAAUUCAUUAGUUUCAUGAAUAGGUAGAUUUCACAACAGAAGGGAAAAGGCUGCUGAGCUAGACAUGUUCAUAUUUGUCUGCCAGGCUCACCAAUCAGGUUUUAAGUUGGCCCUCUUCCCUUGGGUAGGAGAGAGCAAGGUAUUAUAUAUGUGAACAGAAGCUUUUUGUCUGUUACAUUUUCAGAGAUGAAAACUCCCAUUUUAGGGAACCAAGACUGAAUUCCAUGAUUUACAUGGAUGUUUGGAAGGUGUCUGCAACUUAAUCUGUGUUCGUUUCUGAGAUGUUGGGCAACUCCUUCUUGGAAGAUGUGGUAAUGGUCUCUUUGAAAAGAAAAUAAUCAUCUGAGUUUUGGCUGAAAUAGUUGAUCAGAUUACCUAUGAAAAUGACUCUCACCCAACUACAAGAAUGUUAUGAUGUAGAAACUCUAAAUAUAUGAGUAAUUAACUAUACAACACUCCAUUCCCAUGUGAAAAUCUUUAAUCUUUUAAGAUACUGAAAUUUUGCGUAUGUCUCAUAAUUUUCUGUAUAUGGUCAAUGAGUUUUGCCUUAGCCAUAAGUGGUCUGUCUGAAAUCUUCUCUAUUAUUUGUGGAUUUUCUUCCUGAUGUACCAAGCCUAGUCUGUUUGUUUUUUCCUAAGAGAAAAGCAGAUGAUUCAACUGUGUAUUUCUCAGUGUUGAUAUUGUGGUUCUGAGGUAUUUCAUAAUCUUGAGUAAAAUCUUGUCAAUUUUAUGCUAUGCCUUGUGGGAACAUAUUUUUACUUUUAAGUCUCUUUGGCAAAGUGGAGCUUCCUUUGUGUUUCCUCGCCAAAUGUAUUACCCAUUGUUUUCUGAUUAAUUCUUUUUCAGAAUGUUUACUCCUUCUUACCUCAAUGUCAUUACUUUUCAGUCUUGGCUUUGGGUAAACCUAGGACAAGAAUUGGAUAUCCAAAGCCAAUUUCAAUAUAAAAACUAUAAUAUCUAUCAAAAUCUAUGUAAAAUCCUGUGUAUAUUUCUCUUCUUUGUUGAACAGGGGCUUAUAAUCAUGUAGGUAAAUACACGUGGUUUUGAUUUCAGCACUGAUUACUGAAGAUUUGUCUUCCAUUCUUCUGGGCCAGGCCCAUACACAACCAUAGUUAGAAGUAAAAACUAUUUGUUAUACCUGGAAUGCCUUUCCUUUCAAUCUCUGAAUGUCUAAAAUUACUUUUUCUUUGAAGACCACCUCAGGUGACCCUACUGUGGGGAAAAUGCCUGAAUUAUCUUUGUAAUCCCAGCUCAGCCACUUAAAGAUUGUGUAAGUUUAGUGUCAGCAUAUUACUUAAGUUCUUUUAGAUUUAGUUUCCUCAUAUGUAAGCUGGGGAUAAUAAUACCUACCUCAUAGAAAAUGAAUGAGAAUCAAGUUAUAUAAUAUAUGAACAACACUUGACACUGUGUGUGAACACUCAAUACAUGUAAAUCAUUAUUAUUAGCAAAAUGAUUAUUAGGUUCUCAUGCUAAUCCACAAUUUUUACUGGCAGAUAUCCAUUAGUUUAUAGUUAAUGUUAUUCAUAAUCUUUUCUUCAUAUUCAAAUAGGAAGAGAUGACUUCUCAAUCUAGUUAAUCCUGGAUGUGUAUUUCUCUUUUUAUUGAGUGUAAAAUGCUUAUUUAUAUACAUACAAUUUCCCUUGUUAGUGAACAUCUAGAAGGCAGAAUGGUACUUCAUUUCUUUCUGUAUGUUUAGCACCAAGGACAGUACCUGGCACAUAGAAGAUACAUAUUAAAGACAAAUAAAACAACUCUUAAUGGAUCUCAUUUUAAAAAAAUUCUCAGUUAAUUAUAAAGGCUCUAGUAAACCAAAUAAUUGUAUGUUAACUUAUUUACUUUUAUUACUGUGUUUAUUUUCUCCAACUGCUUCAUCAUACAAAGUAAACACCUGAAUGUAAGCUGCAUGAGGGCAAGAGCUGUGUCUUGUUUACUGCUCUCAAGAACAUUUGAGCAAAGUGCCUGGCACAUGGCAGACACUCAAUAAGUUACAGUUAAUACUCAAUGUAUGAACUGAUCUAUACUUAGAAUUGACUAAGAAGAAUAAGUCUUACACAGACUCAGUCUCUGAGAACUUGACAAUCUAAGUUUGCAUAUCUCUGCUGAUAUGUUUUCAGGUUACUCAGUAGAAAACCAAGUUAUUUACACAUCCUCAAGUGUCUCAAGGUUAAAUCUUCCAUGCAUAAAAUAUCUGGGCGAUUGAUUGUGUUUCUUACUUUGCUCCUAAGUAUAUUAGCAUCAUAUAGGCAUAGCCUAAGCCAGACCAAAAUGAAUUCAUUGAUUGACUCAACAAAUGUUUAUGGAUCUCAGAUAUUAUAUGGAGAUGGUGUCAAACAACGGGAUGUGCUGUGGAAUUUGAUGUGGAGGCUGAAGGAAAGAGGAAUCUAGGCGGACUCACAGAUUUUUUGGCUUGAGUAACUUGGACAUUAUGGUGAGUUAUUGAACGGAAGUCUAGGGAUUGUUCAACCCCUGAAAACAGACCACAUCCCAUUGCACGAGGAAAUUUGGGUAAGGUUCUGCCUUUUCUCAUAAAAUCAGACUCUGAUCUAAUUUCUUUCACAAUUAAGCUUACCUAAAAUAUGUUCACACUGAAAGUUAAUGCAUUUUUGUCUGUCAGCAUUUGGUGUUGCCUUGGUGACAGUGUACAGACCAAUUGUUAAGAGCUUUUUUUGAAGCAACUUUGCCAGUUCUUUCAUCGUAGUGCAUAUGCAGCAUUAUAUGUUCAUUGUUAUUUGCUUCAUUUUCUACAACUGGAAAUAAUGUAUUUUGAAGCAGCAUAAGAGAGUAUAUUUGAAGAUUCCUCUUGUACUUUGAUAUAGUCAUUAAGAAAGCUUUUAAAGGAGUAAUACUUGGCAUUCGAAAUGUGAAACCAAAAUACUUCAAAUGGCAUUCGAAUUAAAAUUUAAAAAUAUAUAAGUGAAAGAAAAUAUCAAGUUUAUUUCGGGAAUUAUAAAUCAUAGUCCAUGUGAUAAACAUGUGGGAACUGAUUCUUGUUGCUUAACACAGCUGAGAAAACAAUUUAAUGUCAACCUACUGACAAAUAAAACUGCCAUAGCAUCAUUAUUGUUUUAAGAAACCACAUUGGAAGCCAAAUAUUUCAAAGUUAAGAUGUAUGCUAUGUAUUUUGUCAGUAUAGUUUGCUUAUUACUGAGUGAAAGAAGGCAAAUCAUUUUACUUGGUCUAAUGGUCAACAGAGGUGAGAUUAUAGGAUUAUGGGAUACUAUAGUGGAAUGGUAAGUUGGCAGUCCUCUGGUUACCUAACAGGAAAACCGAAGCUCAGAGAGGUCAAGACACUUGCUCAAGGAGGUGAGUCCCAACCCCCCACUUUUAUUAUCUCCCCUAACUUCAGGUCAAAAUUCUAGAGAGUACACAGUUAAGAAUCUAUGCUUACAUGGAGCAGGGUGGUACCUUUCUACUCCGGCAUCUGUUGAAGAAAAUCGAGCUUGAAUGUGUAUGAAACAGAAUUUUCUUUAUGAAGCAUAGAAAUUAUUUCUUGGAGAAACAGCAGUUAAUAUCUCUUGGAUACCUUUAAAAAAUGCUCCCUUUUAAAUAUUUGUCCUGUUCAUGAAAUAAUUAAUAAGAACUUGCUAUUAGGAUUUUAUUUUUUUCUGAGCACAGAGAAGCUAAAAUAUGGGGCUAUUUAUCUCAGUGACAGGGUAACAAAUUUCUAAAAGUUAUUUUGGGUAUAUAUAUAUAUAUAUAUAUGUCUAUUUAGCUAAAGAUGUGGUACACCAAAACAUGAUUUGCAAGCUUAAUUUAUUCUAAAGGGGCUUAUUGUGAUAAGUGAGUUAGCAGCAUUGUAUUAGGAAAACUGGCAAUAUUAUGAUCACAUACCCAGGCACAGAGUGGAAACAGAAUGAAGGGAUUUGCAGUGAAGAAUGAUGCAAAACCUACCAAGACAGGAACUUUCAUAAAUUAAGACUCAUUAACUAGAAAGAAGAGUUGAGGCCAUGCUCCCGUCAGAAAAUGUCAUGCCAUAGAUAUUUUUCAUAGCGCUUCCGAGUCUCUCAUCUGAGCACAUCCCACUGGAGUCUUUGUUCAUGUAUAUAUCCCAAGGUAGAUGGUUGGCAAUUGGGAUGAUUCCCUUUGCCAUAACCUCUCAUCUAUGAAGUUUGGGCAGGGUUUUACCAGAGCUUAAAACCUUAAAGCAGCCACAGAACAUUUUGAGUUACUACUCAACAGUGCUCCUAAAUACAUCCUAAGAUAACAUAAAGUAUGAGUCUAGGUAAUAGAGGUACCUCAUUUUGUAUUAAACCAAAGUCAUAGGCAUUUGUUAUUAAUUUGAAGUCUUUUGGUUUCACAUCUUAAAUGUUGUGAAAACAGUUAAUCUUUCACUUUUUUAAAACAAAUAUCUGGGUAUCUACUACAUACCAGAAAAGUCAGACACCAGUGAUAAUAAUAAUACCUGACUUUAUUGCCUGUUACGUGCCAAUUCCUCUUGUAAAUGAUUUGCAUGCCGUAGCUUACAUAAACCUCACAACAACUCUGUGUGUUAGGUGUCAUCAUUACCUCCAUUUUGCAUAUGAGGAUUUCAAGGCGAAGAGUGGUUGGCUAACUCUCCCAAGGACACAAAGCUAGAGACAAUGGAUCUGGAUGUGAAAGGCAGUGCAGUGUUGUUUCAGAGUAUGUGCUCUUGCCCCAUAUGCUAUUCUGCUUCUCCAACAAAUGGUGAAAUGACUCAGGCCUCUGCGUUCAAAGAGCUUACUUUUAAAAAAAAAAAAUUUAUGUUCCAGGAUACAUGUGCAGAACAUGCAGGUUUGUUACAUAGGUAUACAUUGCCAUGGUGGUUUGCUGUACCUAUCAACCCAUCAUCUAGGUUUUAAGCCCUGCAUGCAUUACUAUUUGUCCAAAUGCUCUCCCUCCCCUUGCCCCCCACCCCACAACAGGCCCCAGUGUGUAAUGUUCCCCUCCCUGUGUCCGUAUGAAGAACUUACAUUUUAAUAAGAUAAAAAGAUGAUCACAUAAAUAGUGUAAUAAGUGUUGUAUUAGAAGUAGAGGACUCCAAAGGAACACAGAGGGGACACCCAGCCCAGUCUUGGUCCAUUAGGGAAAAGUCCUUGGAAUGAUAUGUUAGCAGAACCCUAAACUUUAGGUUACCUUCCAAAGUUCUCUAUCACUAACUUGAGUCACAGGCUCAUAGAAUCUUAGAAAAUAUUUAUGUCAGCACCUUCAGUAUACAGAUGAAGCAAACGAGGGCUCAGGCAAGUUAUUUGGCUAGUAGCUGAUAGAGAUUUAGCAAGAAUGCAAGGAUCCAGACACCCUUAUGCUUUUUUUAAAUUAUUAUAUCACAUAUUUAGUCAGUGUCUUAAAAAUAAAUUAAUAAUAGUCUUAUCUUGAUUGAAGAUAAAAUAGUCUUCCUCCUUCUUCUGCCUUUUAUAGAACUUUUCACUUUUUUUGAUGUCAUGUGAACGUCAAUCAAGAUAUGAAUUCUUUAUGUAGAUUAAGUGAUUUUACAAAGUAAAGAGAAAAAAAUCUUACUGCUUAUGAACCCUGCUGAGUAUACAUUAAUGUAUUUUGAGGUGAGUCACAAGUAGGCCACCAUUAACAUAGAUUUUUGGUACAUUAGAAUUCUAGCUUUAUUACUUAUUAGCCAGUAAACUUGGGCAACUUACCUUUUCUAGGCCUCAGUUUCUAAUCUGUAAAAUAGGAAAAAUAAAUAAUAAUCCCUCCUGUGCAUCAGCAUUUUGAAUCCAAGUUGCACUAAAUUUUUAAUCUUUCAGUUGGUAAUUACCCAAAGUUCUCUCUCUCUCUCUCUGUUUAUAUUAUCUUUCUGUAUUGGAUGUGACUGUCUCCAAAAUUUAAAUAAUAGUUAAUGAUAGUGGUUGUAGUGGAAAAUUUGACUAAUUCUUGAAAGCAUAGGAACACUUAGUAAGUAUUACGUUGGUUGUUCAUUUGAAAUAGACAUUCUUCAGCAUGAUAAAGAAGGAUUUUUUUAUUCUUAGAUUCUAAGACUUCUUUUUUUUAAGUAUAUAUGUAUAGAAUUGAUUGUUUAACUUUAUCAAAUGUCAGUAAUCAAGGUGCUCAUAUGGUUUAUUUCCUUUGGUCUACAGAUGUGAUAAAUUUGGAUAUAUUUUAAAAUAUUAAGCUCUCCUUGCACUCCUGGUUGAUCAUGAUGCAUUUUUCUUUUAAUAUUUUUCUUAAUUUAAUUUUAAUUGAUAAGUAAAAUUAUAUAUAUUUGUAGUAUGCCAAAUGAUAUUUUGAUAUGACAAAUGUCUCUCUUACAGAUUUUCUGUUAACUAGAUAAUAUAACUGAUGUUUCUACCACGAUUUUGAUUGAAAACAGAUGCAUGUUUAUUUAUAUUCUUCACUGUGGAUUUUCAUUUGAGGUCCAUGUAUCUCUUAAAGUAUAUGGAUUGGGUUAGAGAGUUCUUAACUGCCUAAUAUUGUGCAUUUUUAGAGAGAGAAGGCUCGUGGUUUUCUUAGUGUCUUCAGAGGAUGUCCAUGAUCCCCACGUUUUAAGAACUACUUUGUAUUCUACAAAAUAAACUCAAAGCUGCUAUCUCUUGAAACUGGUGUCUCUGUUCUUCCCCCUUGCUGAUCAGAACUUCUCACUAUUUUGCACUUUCCUGACUACACAUUAGUGGUAGGAAAUUUUCUCGAUUUUCUCUCUAGAAAAUAACUUUCAGGUUAUGUAUAACCAGAAAAGGUCUCUUGUUAACUGAACCAACCAACCGGUGAAGCAACAAACCACCAGCUAGAAAGACAGUUGACAGACAAUCAAACUCUACUGAAGUAAGCCUGUGGAAAUCAUGAGGUCUGUGGCAAUGUCUCUUCUGAUUUGUUUGACUAGAUCCAGGAGCUGUACCUAGAUGUAGAGGAGCUGAUUUUUUCGGACAAACAAGCUUUACAAUUGAGAACAGAAAAGUAGUUGAGGCCUUGUGUCCAUCCAUUUUAGACUGAAAAAAAAAAAAGCAAUGACCAGGUGAAGCCUACUGUCCAGUUGCAGGAAAGGGUUGAGUUGCACACUGUGGCUUCUCUGGCAUUAAGUGGUGUUAGAGACAGAGAGGCUCACACAGAAGGUAGAUCAUCUGUGUUGUCCCAUGGCCUGACUAUGCAAAUGGAAACUAACAUUUGGAACCAAGAAUAUUUGAAAAUGAGCAGUGCAAAAAACAAAAGAAAGAAGGAAGGAAGGGAGAGAGGGAGGCAGGGAGGGAAAAAAGAAAGAAAGAAAAUCAAUCAAUCAAUCCCAUUAGAUAAGUUAGUGUCACGUAGAUGUGUGUUUCCCUUUAAUUGAUUCCAUUUGGUCCCAUAAGCCAGAAGCACUCUGUCUUAUCUGAAGUCAGAUAAGACUUGGAUGAAUGUGCUCCUAGGAACUCUUGCCUGUCUGCCUUCUUAAACUGGUAACUCUCUUAUCCAGGGCGUCCAUCAUCCUAUAGUCUUCUAUUUCCUUCUUCAUCUUACACAUAGUCUUAAGGUCCUCUACUUAAAGUCUGUUGCCUCACAAUGACCAGGGUCCUCCCCACUAGAAAAGAAGAAAGUAGGCUAAUUUCUGCUCUUGAAUUUGAAAUGUUUCCUAAUGGCAUUCCCAUUUUUGGAUGGCAUAUUGUUGUCUGUGUCUAAGCAACCUGACUUCUUCUAGUCACUGAAGUGGUCAAAAGGGCUUGGCUUGGGCCUUGAAUAAUUAAUUUCUACCUCCAAGAUAAAAAUAUUAUUUGCAGUUUAAAAAGUUAUAAUUGGGGGGUUAGCUUGUGUAGAACAAUAUCUAGUGAUUUUUAAGAUUCUCAAGUUAAAAUGUCUUAUUGAUUCAAAUUUGAUGCUUGCUUUAAGCCUUCUUGCAUAGGGAUUUAAAAUAAUUUCCCAACUACAUAGUGUGUGUUUUUCAGAUUUUAACAUUUUCUCUCUAAAGACAAUUGCAGUUAAAUUUGGGAAAGUUGUGGCAAUGCUUAUUGGCAAAGUCAUCUGUCUCCUAAUAUUGUAAUCUGUCUCCUAAUAUUGGUCAUCUGUCUCCUAAUUAGGAGUCAUUAGGAGUCAUCUGUCUCCUAAUAUUGGUAGCCUGAAUAACUACAUUCUAAACAGCAUGUUUUUUGUUUGUUUGUUUUUACUGGCACACACUUUCAUUGUAUAGGGGUGGUAUAUGGAUCAUCUCCUAUAUUUUUUUAAUGAGCCCAGACUCAAACUCUAAUCCAGGCAAUAGAAUUCCAAAUAAGUAGUGAUAGUGAAAUCUACUAUUUGCCUUAACAUCUAAUCUUCCUUUGCAAUUUAUUUAUUUAUUUAUUUGGUUUGGGGAGGCAGGUAAACUUAAUACCUGAAGGCCCCAUCAGGUUAUGUGGAUGGCCCCUGAGUAAGAUUAUAGGGAACUUUAGGGAUUAAGGAAACUGAAGAGAAUUUUGUUCCCAGAGAGCAGCUAAUACUCACUUCCAGACAACUGUGCUAUACAGGAAUAUGGUGCCAGUGUUGCUAGAAUGUCUGAUUUUUUAAUAGAAGGCUGAAAUACACAUUUUAUAUGAAAUAUUCUGAUUUUUAAAAUAUUCUUUUUUUCACUUACAAAUUAUAUUUUAUUUUUAACUGAGAGAUAAUAAUUGCAUAUAUUCAUAGGGUGCAAUGUGAUGUUGUGGGACAUGUAUAUGUUGCAGAAUGAUUAAAUUAGGCUAACUAACAUAUCCAUUACCUCACAUACUUUUCUUCGUGGUGAUAACAUUUAAAAUCUUUUAGUAAUUUUGAAAUAUACAGUAUGUUAUUAUUAACAAUAGUCAGCAAGCUGUGCAAUAGAUUACUAAAACUUAUUCCUCCUGCCUAACUGAAACUCUGCACCCUUUGAUCAACAUCUCCUGUUUUCCUAUCCCUCCUCCUGCAGUUUCUGUAACCACCAUUCUACUCUCCAAUUCUAUGAGUUUGACUUUUUUCGAUUCUACAUGUAAGUGAGACCAUAUGGUAUUUGUCUUUCUGUGCCUGGCUUAUUUUAUUUAGCAUAAUGUCUUCUGGGUUCAUGCAUGUUAUUGCAAGUUUUCUUCUUUUUAAGGCAGAAUAGUAUUCCAUGAGGUAUGCACACAACAUUUUCUUUAUCCACUCAUCCGUUGAUGGACACUUAGGUUAUUUCCAUAUUUUGGCUAUUGUGAAUAAUGCUGCAGUGGACAUAGGAAUGCAGUUAUUUCCUUGACAUACUGAUUUCAAUUCCUUUGGAUAUAUACCCAGAAGUGGGAUUGCUGGAUCAUAUGGUAGUUCUGUUUUUAGUUUGUUUGAGGAGCCUUCAUACUGUUUUUCAAAAUGGCUAUACUAAUUUACAUUUCUGCCGACAGUGUGCAAGCGCUCCCUCUUUUUCACAUUCUCUCCAACGCUUACCUUUUGUGCUUUCGAUAAUAGCCAUUUUAACAAGUGCGAAUUGAUAGCUCAUUUGGUUUUAAUUUGCAUUUCCUUAAUAAUUAGUGAAGGUGAACAUUUUUCAUUUACCUGUUAGCCAUUUUUACAUCUUCGUUUGAGAAAUAUCUAUUCAGUUUCUUUGCCCACUUUAUUUUUUAAAUUUUAAUCUCUAUUUUUUAACUUUUAGGUUUGGUGGUACAUGUGAAUGUUUGUUACACAGGUAAACGUGUCACGGGGGGGUUGUUGUACAGAUUAUUUAAUCAUCCAGGUAAUAUGCCCAGUCCCCAAUAGUUAUCUUUUCUGCUGUCCUCCCUCCUCCCACCCUCCACCCUCAAGAAGACCCCAGUGUGUGUUGUUUUCUUCUUUGUGUUCAUAAGCUCUCAUCAUUUAGCUUCCACUUACAAGUGAGAACAUGAGGUGUUUGAUUUUCUGUUCCUGCGUUAGUUUGCUAAGGAUAAUGGCCUCCAGCUCCAUCCAAGUUCCCGUAAAAGAUAUGAUCUCAUCCUUUUUUAUUUUGCCCAUUUUUAAAUCAGGCUAUUUGUUUUCUUGUUAUUGAGUAGUUUGAGUUCCUUAUAUAUUUUGGACAUUAGCUCCUAAUCACAUAUAUGAUUUGCAAACAUUUUCUCUCAAUUGGAGGGGGGGUUCUGUCUUCACUCUCUUAAUGUUUUCCUUUGCUAUACAGAAGCUUUUUAGUUUGAUAUCAUCCCACUGUUCUAUUUUCGCUUUUUUAUUGCAUUAUAUUUAAGGUGUUACAACAUGAUGUUCUGAUAUACACAUAUACAUAUAGUCAAAUGCUUAGUACAGUCAAACAAAAUUACAUAUUCAUCAUCUUCCAUAAUUACCUCUUUUUCUUUGUGUUAAGAUCACCUAAAAUCUACUCUUAGCAAAUUUUCAGUACGCAGUACAAUAUUAUUAACUACAGUCCUCAUGCUGCACAUUAAAUCUCUAGAUUUAUCCUACCAAUUUUUAAAUGAUAGCAAUUCAUUCACUUUUUAAUUUUUGGAAACACUGUGUGGUCAAGGAGAACAGUUUUAUGCUGUGUUAGAAUUUACAAAGCACUCUCAAGUCCACAUUUGGUCCAAACAAACAGGCUAUCACAUAGGAAGAUUUUUUUUUCCUUUGCAAAUAAAGAAACUGAGGAAUACAGUGAUUAUGUGACCAGCUCAAAGUGACAUAUCUAUUAUGAAAAAAGAACGUAGGACUAAAACCCGGUGUUUAUACAUCUCAGCUUAAUCGAAACUCUCCUAUGUUUAUCGAACCUUUGUGCAGAUGCAGAGUCAGUCAUUAUUUAUGUUGUAACAGUUUCCACUUAAUUUCAUUCUUGCUCGUUUGGUUCUUCUGCUUUUGCAUUUUAUGUAAUCUGGGUUGUCUCCCAAACAAAACUCAAAGAGUAACCUUAACACUUUUGAUGUGGUCUACUUCACUGACUUGACUUUGAGGAGUAACAAGAAAAUUUCAUAAUGGAGUUAUUUAUUCUCCAUCUAGUUUUUUUCUUCAUUUCAUGUAAUAAAUAAUUUCAGCACAUUUUCAGCUGUAAGUCUCUUUGCUGAAGUCAUUCUGAACAAAAUUAUGAACAUACUACCAAAAAGAAAUGAGUUUGUUUUUGUGAAAUACAUCUCAGAAAGAACAACUGUGAUAAACCUAUUCAUACAAAAACUUUGUACUUUAAGUUACAAAUUAUCUUUAAUUCCUGGGAUUUACUGCUGUAAUUUCUGAUAGCCUAGGCCUUCCGAGACCUUCACCAUGAACCACUUAAGACAGAAUAGAGGCUUUCCUUUAGUAGUUAAUAAGAAAAUUAUAUUUUACUAAAACCAAACUUUUUUUAUUAUUAUACUUUAAGUUCUAGGGUACAUGUCUACAACAUGCAGGUUUGCUACAUAGGUAUACAUGUGCCAUGUUGGUUUGCUGCACCCAUCAACUCGUCAUUUACAUUAGGUAUUUCUCCUAAUGCUAUCCCUCCCCAAGCCCCCAACUCCACAACAGGCCCCAGUGUGUGAUGUUCCCCGCCCUGUGUCCAAGUGUUCUCAUUGUUCAAUUCCCACCUAUGAGUGAGAACAUGUGGUGUUUAAACCAAACCUUUUUUGAAGUAGUAGAUGAGGCAUUUCUCUUCUAUAAAUGAGAUUUGCAAAUAGUGAUUUUAUUUAUUAGUUUAGGAAUCAAGAAAUCCCCAGAAUGAAUGGUAAGGUAAUUUUAGGGCCUUUUGAUAGAAUCAGACUAUUGGGUGUUUGGAAAGUUUCUGGAAAUUUUUUUUUUUUUUUUUUUUUGGUAAGCUUUAGCACCAGAGUUUCAGAGAGAGAGAGAGAUUGGAACAUUUCUCCAAGGGGCAUUCAUUGGUUUUAC